CUAUGCAGAUAAAACUCAGACUAAAAUGUAUUUAUAUUUAGUCAUCUUUUCAUUGUUCUCUAUUUAAACAAACGCCAUCCAUUACGAGUUAUCCGCCUGAAUCUGUCCUGUCUGUCUUUCGGACAAAAAUGACAUAAAUGGCUUAAAUAAAUGCACUGCUGACGAUGACUAACGGACGAGCGACUAUUUAAACAUUAUUUAAACAAAUAUGCCCGAGUUCCUGGCCGAAUUCGUUAUUUUUUCCAACAGUCCAUGGACAAGAAUGCCAACAAAUUCUCGUACCAGUUAGAUAAACAACUACGGCAAAAUAACAAACUGAAUGCAAGUAAAACAAUCUUCAGGGCAGUGACCCUUUGACAUGUGAGUCCCCAGCAUGGAUGGACACGGCCAGCUUGUAGCACAAAAUGAAAUUCUUUCUCUGGGAUUUUGGCCAAUUCCCCACUAACAUACAUAUAUCUGCAGCUGUCCUUGACAGAGAAAUAGAGAGCUGAGGUGGACUAAAUCCGCCUGAAGGGUUGAAAAGAGUUUUCCCGACUUGGACAAAGCUCAGUGAUUCUUGGAACCAUGCAUUUAUUCUUAGAUUUCAAAAGAAUAUAUUGAAUUGAACGAAAUCACAAUUGCCAGGACUGACGUAUUUCCACAUCCACAUACACAUCGCUAGCUGCAACUGAGGAUCUAUGAAUAGAGCAUUCAAGGAUUAUAAUUGCCAGCACAAUGGACGCAUUACACCCGCAGACAUCUGUGUGUGGAACAAAUGUACGAGUAAUUGAAGAGAAAAGCAAGCCCGAUGAAAGGCAGGCAGCCCUGACUGAGCCCUGAGCUCUUAAGGCAUGAAAUGAAAUCAAAUCAAUUUGCAUACGAGUGUGUAAUAGGUAGAUAGAUGGCAGGCAAAUUGUCUCUUCCGUUUCGAUACGGUGCAAUGACAGUGCUUCCGUUUCCUGAUAAACUGAGAAAACGACAGGAAAAAUGAGAGUAAUUGCUUGAAAUCAAAACCACUUUAUCCAGUCUCGUAUUUCACUGAAGCUUCCAACACAAUCUUUACAGGAUGAUAUUUAUUACCUGCUAAUUGUCGCCUCCUUUUUUUUGCCGUGCACUAUAAAAAUAUGCUCUUAAAUAUACUGAAACACUAACUCAUGCAUUUAAGUGCAAUUUUUAAUCAAAUUUUGUAACAAUAAAGUCCAUU
rnacentral:sRNA from 1 species